ensembl:lncRNA
CCCUGCUGGGCUUUCUGGAAAAUUCUUCCAUCAUUACUUUGCGUUUCUGCUCUUUCGAUUCGCCGCAAAUACUUCUAGUGCGCGCUCACACAUCAUUCCUCCUCGUCCUCUUCCUUUAGUCUCUCACUUUCCUUUCCUCGCCCUCACUCUCAUCCCCCUGUUCUCUCUCUCUCUCCCUCUCUCUCUCUCUCUCUGUCUCUCUCUCUCACGCGCGCUGUCGCUGCACGCUGCGCCGAGAUUUUCUAUUACCGGUGUAAUUGCGCAUUCCGCAGUGACAAGAGCUCAUUAGGUCUUAAUUACACAUGUGUUAUUAGUACAAACAUCUCCGUUCGGCUUCCUUUUUACACGGUAAUUGUACUGUGGGGACGGCCGUUUGAGACGGCGGGCAGAUCGGAGUGUGUGCGCCGCUGACGAGGGAAGGAUGGAAGUAGGUCAGGAACAGUAGCGGUAAACAUGCGGCGCUGGAAUAAAAUAAUACUCUCUGUUUCCCUCUCUCUCUCUCUCUCUCUCUCUCUGAACAUGCACAAAGACACACACACACACAUUAGAUAUCAUGCCAAAGCCAGUGAGAUCCAGUGCUCAUGUAAUAUUUACAGUACACUAAUAGAUAGAUGACAGGUUUGUUUUUUUCUGAAAGGAAGAGAGAGAGAGAGAGAGAGAGAUGACGCCCCCCUCCAAUUCAUUUGAAUUUCAGAGAAAGCUCAGGGACUACAUUAAUACAUUUGCGCAUGGUGCAUUAGUGUGUUAGUUAUGCACGUGUGUGUGUGUGUGUGUGUGUUUACUGGUGUACGUGUUUGUCUUUCCGCACGACUUUGUGAAAAACGCGUACACGGACCAUUUGAUUCGCUUGAGAAAUGAUGCUGAGCGACUGACAUUUCCUUCUCCGUCCUCGGUGUCCUCGUCUGCUGUCUUCUUGCGCUUCCUUCCUGCUUCGGUCCAACCCGUGCGCCUGUCCUGCGUUUAAACCUUCUUUUACGUUACACCUGGUGACCUCCUUGAUUCACGACGAGCCUCCCGUCUUGCGCGUGACUGACACGCGCGCGCGCGCACUCGAGGGGGGGCGAACUUCAACUGCACACAUCAAACGACAGUGAGGCUGCCAGUACUGUAUUCAUCAUUUCCUCUCUCUCUCUUUUUUUUCUCUUCUUCUUCUUCUUCUUUUCUUCCACCUCAAUCAGGAUAAAAAUAAAGAGCAGUAGCUGUAAUGACAGUCGCUCGAGCUGCUGUAUCCUCCGUGCGGGCUGAAUAAUGUCCUAGCUCGGCAGAAUCUAAUAGGCUCCUUCUCUCUUAGAUGUGCAGCCCUAGAAUGGCGCUUAUGAAAUAUUAAUAUUACACAAAAAAUAUGGCAACUCCGACUCACUCCAUCUCUCAAACUCUAACGCAAUUGACUAUGCGAGCCUUCCAAAUCAGACGGAGGGGAGAGGAGAGGAGGGGCGGGGGAGGGAAUUUGACUUGAAUAUGAGGAGCAUGUCACGGGGAGAAGAAGAAGAAGAAGAAGAAGAAGAAGAAGAAGAAGGGACGAGGCGGGGGAGGGGUGGGAUGAGAGAAGAGGGGCAGCAUGAGCAGAAAAACACAGGUAAGAAUAGCAGAUGUUUGGUUGAUGGUAUCAGGGCAACACAGAACGUGAAAAAGAGGUGCUGCCCUUCCUAAGGUCUCACGACACACACACACACACACACACUGUGGCCACAAAAAACGACAGACCCUGCUAGCAUUAGAUAAGGAAUAUUGCUAACGUCUCAGACUCAGACAGAAGCACCUGUCAGUUUGUUGGUUAAACCUAAACCGGACGUUUGCGUCCCCCUCGGCGCGAUCUCAACACGUGGUGAUGCCUUAAAGCCCGGCAUAAUUGUCGCACCAGUGAGACUCGCCGCGUCGGUGGCUUCAUUUCUACAACUUGCACCUUUUCCCCGUUCUCCGGUGGCAUUUCUACGGCGUGAUGGAUUCUAAAAUUGUGACGUAAAAAGCGUUUGAGCCUGAGCAUGACGACAGCUCGCUGGGCCAAAGCGCAACACACUAUAAAAAUCACAUCUUAUAGCUCCGGAAGAGUGCGUUAUUGUGUCCACAAGACAGGUGAUAAUCUCCCUGGAGAUUUAAAAAAAAAAAAAAGAAAAGAAACAUAUAUAUAUAUAUAUAUAUUUUUUGUCGCUCGAUAACUUGGUAGAAAGCGACAUAAAAGCCGUUGGCGAGCCUCUGUGUGCAGAACGUGUGAAGUGCGGCAUCGACAGAGAUAGCGGCGUAUAAAAGGUGACAGCAGAAGCCAGCAUUGGCUCGUGACCUUAAAUUUGCCGGGGCAGGAGGACACUAAUAACGACAAAAGUCGAGAGGCUAUCGCACUUGACUCAUGCUACAGGCGACUAUCUAGUGAAAUUUCAGAGUAUCUCUGUAAUAGACAGUUGAGAAGCGUCAGCAUGUAAUCAUCCGGCGUGCAGUCUAGCAGCAUGUUUUCAGCAGUAUUUCACCGUCCCUUCUUCACCAAGUGUGUUUCCCGUCACCCGAGAAGCCCACACACACGCACGCAUACACAACGGCUAAUAUCAUUAAGCAGGGUUGCCAGGUUUCAGCAAAAAAUUCCCAGCCCGACUCCAUAUUUCAGCAUAUAUGAGAUUAUAAAAUGUGAGCCUAUAUUCCAGAAGUCUAAUCUUUCUGUGUUUUUCGCUCAGAGAGAUCAGACAUCGGUUUGCUUGAUGAACUUUCUGCCUCGGGAUAAAGCCGCUGUGGAGCCGCUACAGAGAUUUCCAGCCCAAUUACGUCUCAAAAACACACAAGAAGACCUCAAACUAGCUUAAAAAGUUUGAGCAUUGGAAAAGGGAGACGCAUUUUUCUUUGUUUUUGUUUUUUUUCACGCGGAACGAAAAGGUCACUGUUGGCACUCGGAUUUCUGAUGCCAUCAAAGGGGGUGGCACGGUGGCUUAGCAGUUAGGGUUGGAGGCUCAAAUCCCACCCCCGACCCUGCGUGCACGGAGCCUGCAUGUUUCCUCCGGGUAACUCCGGCUUCCUCCCCCAGUCCAAAGACACUGAACGGCAUUUCCAAAUAUGUGCGAAUGUAUGUGGGAUUGUCCCCUGCGAUGGACUGGCACCCCGCCCAGGGUGUCCCCUGCUUUAUUCCCCAAAGUUCCCCGGAUAGGCUCCAGGCCAUGGUACAGAAAAUGGAUCAAUGGAUCACAGACAUCAUAGACACACUGCCUACACUUACUGUUUGUACAAAUACAUCACAUUUAAUUCCAAUUACAUGGUAUAGAGCCAAGAUCUUGGCAGCCAUGGAGUAUUUUAAGCGAGGUCAAUUUGGAGUAAAAUCCAUGACCCUGGCAACCCGGUCAUCAACUCUCCUCCUCCACUGAUAAUGUCCGGUGAUUCCUGUCCCAGUGCGUCUCUAUUAGCGCUUUCUCAUUUUUCCAGUUUGCAUUUUAGCCCACUCGGUGCAAUAAUAACUUCCCCACGACUGCGCAACUCCUAAAAAGGCGAGCAAAUCAAUGGAACUUCUGGCAUACAUCGGUCAAAAAGCACCAUUUAUUACAUAACUGGUCACUCAAAAGAGGUGGAUAUGUACGGAUCUGUGAAUUAAGACUAUAAAUAUAUAUAUAUAUAUAUAUAUCUAGAAGGACAUCACCGAUCUGGUGCAGCAAGAGAACACUCAUCAAAGGGCGUUUUUUGAAUUUACAGUACAGAAGGUUUAC